GAACCUCACUGCCAGGAGCCUCCAGCAGAGGAGCGGUCCCCUGGCACCCCGGACGUCUCCUGCCUUUCCUGGCCCCCAUGGGCCCCCCUCUUGGGGCUCGCGCCCACCACCACCAACACCCAGAGCCACAGCUGGCCCCGGAGAACACUCUCUCGCCGAGUACUGUCGCCUCCACGGCCCUCACAGGCAACUUACUCUGCCCAGCUUCCCCCCUCAGGGACUGAGGGCGCCUCUCUGCCCAGAGACGCCGCCGGCCAUGGAGGCCAGGGAAGGACGCCCACAUGAGGCGAGGGCGGUUAGGUCCUAAACAGGGCAAGAAUAUUGGAAUGGGUUGCCGUUUCCUCCUCCAAGGGAUCUUCCCAACCCAGUAAUAGAACCUGUGUCCCCUGUCUCCUGCUUGGCAGGUGGAUCAUUACCACCUGGAAAGCCACCUGGGAAUCCUUUAGUAUGAGGAAGAACUACCUCGUCAAAUACCUUCCCUUUAUGACUAAGAAAAACAAGGAUCAGACUUGUGACAUUUGUUGUAAAGUGUCACAAGUUGGAAUGCAUUCUGAGGAUGAUAAAAAGUUAUAAGUAAAUGGAUACAAUUAUUUGACAUUAAGCAUUGUAAAACUGUACACUUAAACUGUAAAAGUC
ensembl:lncRNA